rnacentral:rRNA from 1 species
UACGUAGGGUGCUAGCGUUGUCCGGAAUUACUGGGCGUAAAGCGUGCGUAGGCGGUUUGUUAAGUCUGCUGUGAAAUCCCCGGGCUCAACCUGGGAAUGGCAGUGGAUACUGGCAAGCUAGAGUGUGUCAGAGGAUGGUGGAAUUCCCGGUGUAGCGGUGAAAUGCGUAGAGAUCGGGAGGAACAUCAGUGGCGAAGGCGGCCAUCUGGGACAACACUGACGCUGAGGCACGAAAGCGUGGGGAGCAAACAGG